AACAAAAAAAAAAAAAAAAAAAAAAAGGGCUGCGAAAGCAAAUUUGCUAAAGAUCGUGUGCCCGUAAAAGGAUUCUUAUGAAAAAAUACACUUUUACAUGACAAAACUGUAUAACUUUUCGUAUCCUAUGAUAAAAAUUGGUCCACCAUAGUGAUUUGUAAGUUUGGACUAUAUAGGUCUAUUUUUCAGAUCCCACCUAUUAAAAGAAUUCUUACGAAAAAGAAAUCUUUACAGAGAAAGGUCAUACAAUUUUUGAUAUUUUAUACGAAAAGUUGGUCCAAGCCGUACAUUUUUCGGAUUUCUCUCUUCCUCCUUCGGACCUUUUUGCAAUGGAUUGGACAUCAGUCUAUCUUUGCCCUUAUCCCCUCUCGCCUUCCUGAGCCUUCCUGACUAUCUGUAAAAGAGACAUCCGUUGUUUGAAUGAUUAAACCUAAGGAAAGAGAAGAAUGCAAAGAAAAAUCUACUUAAGUUAAUUCUAGAUGCAAUUAUUAUUUAACAAUUGGAAAGAAACGAAAGGAACCAUAGC